rnacentral:lncRNA from 1 species
AUUAUACACCUGACUCCCAAACAUCUACUGCCAUUGUAAUACACUGCCUCCUGCAAGGCUAAAGUAGCCAGCCCAGCUAACCAUCAGGAGCCUAUUUGCUCUAACUCACAUUUACAGAAUGCACUUGGUAAAUAGGAGUUCAAUAACUGUUUGUUGAAGAAAGAAAAGAACUAUGGUGGGUCAGAUGAGAGACAAAAAUCACUCUGCAGAGAUACGGCAUGCAGGAGACCACCUCUGAGACUGAGGCAAGAGUGUGCCUGAAAUGCCAGGGGUUCGAUCUAGGUCCUGCUGUUCCCUGACACAGAAAGCCAAUGACUGACACAAUGAGUAUUGCCAAAGAAGAAGGCUUUCAUCGAGUGCUGCAGCCAAGGAAAUGGAAGAUCAGUUUCAAAUCCAUCUCCCUGAACAACUAAAAAUAGAGGUUUCUACAGCAGGGAAGAAAUGUGACUAUGCAUGGGAAAACAGGAAUUAGGGAGGGGUCAUGAGGCAAUCAUGAUGAAUGAGGGGCCUGACAUCCC